rnacentral:lncRNA from 1 species
CUCUUUUCUGAAUUGAACUUUUCAGCUCAUUUUAAAAUUCACAUUGAAUGAAAGUCACUUUACAACUCCGGGGUACAGUUGUAAAAUAAGGGGGCUAGACUAGCUCUAGACCCUAGGAAUCCUCUAUAGUCCAAGGGUUAGCUCCCAGCUUUAAUUGAAAGCUUUGGCUCACCCCCAUCCUCACACUAACCUGCCUUCCUCCUCCCCCUAAUUUACUGGAGGCAAAUUCACAGAACCCUAACAAAUGUUCUAAAAACAUGACUAGAACAAAGAGAGGAAAGAGGCAGACAUGCUGGAGGGUUUUCUUCUUUGCCUUCUGCUUAAAAGGGGUUAAAUCAGUAAACCCAAAAAAUCAUGGCCACAAGUCUCCUGAGUUAUUAAUUGAACACCUUCUUGGAAACUCGUAGCUAGGAAAGUCCCACCUUGAAGAAUUUGAGAUAAGUGUAAAAAGCAAGAACGAGGGGAAUGAGUAGGCUGCUGUGCCCACUCCCUUCAUCGUCAUGUGAUAUUUGUUCAAAGCUGCCUCCAGAUAAGUAACAUGAAACUGUCCUUUUGGCGUCCACCUCUUGCCUCGGCGGAGAGGACUCUCUAACGACCUGAACACAGGCGAGGACUUAUCUCUGUAGGAAGGAGGGACCAUAAAGCUGACUGCCACAAAACAAGAUGAAUGAGUAUUCCAUCCGUAGGCUCAGGCUGCUUCCUGUGAUGAAAAACACGGCCCGUACGAUGAGGAAACUGAGGCCUGACACUUUAGCCACUGCACCAACUACCUGCCCUAAAGAAUGUGCACAAAUGAAAACAAAUAAGUGGAAAGAAGAGCCACAAAGACACUCAACAUUAUCUAAUUAUAAUGAGCAAGCUUGGCCCUGAAGAAAAGAUGAGAAAAGGUACCUUCCUCCCUCUUCUCUCAUUGCAGAGGUAGAGAACUAUGGGUACAGCCCAUACAGGGUUUCUCAAAACUCUUGGGGCAGCUUUCAUCUACUGAAACCUAUAAAAGUGUUACACAAGGACCUUCAGGACACCCUAAACUGUGAGACUCGGGUGGGAGGCAGCGGGGUGUACAGUGGUGCCCAGGAUACUAGAUUUGGAGUCAGGAACCCCUGGUCUCAGAUCCUCGUUUGCCAUGGAACAGUGAGCAAUCCACUCCAUCCCUCUGGAACUCAGUUUCCCUUUAUGCAAAAUUAAGGGGUUGGACUCAAUGGCAUCAAAAGUCUUUUCCAACUCUUUGGCUACGAUCAGCUGAUAUGUCAGUUUUGUUGCAAAAUAGAGUUUCUUCUUU